rnacentral:rRNA from 1 species
UACGGGGGGAGCAAGCGUUGUUCGGAUUUACUGGGCGUAAAGGGCGCGUAGGCGGCCAGCACAAGUCAGUUGUGAAAUCUCCGAGCUUAACUCGGAACGGUCAACUGAUACUGUGCGGCUAGAGUGCGGGAAGGGGCAACUGGAAUUCUUGGUGUAGCGGUGAAAUGCGUAGAUAUCAAGAGGAACACCUGCGGCGAAGGCGGGUUGCUGGGCCGACACUGACGCUGGAGGCGCGAAAGCUAGGGGAGCGAACGGG